rnacentral:rRNA from 1 species
CCUACGGGUGGCAGCAGUCGAGAAUCAUUCACAAUGGGGGAAACCCUGAUGGUGCGACGCCGCGUGGGGGAAUGAAGGUCUUCGGAUUGUAAACCCCUGUCAUGUGGGAGCAAAUUAAAAAGAUCGUACCCCACGAGGAAGAGACGGCUAACUAUGUGCCAGCAGCCGCGGUAAGACAGAGGUCUCAAGCGUUGUUCGGAAUCACUGGGCGUAAGGCGUGCGUAGGCUGUUUCGUAAGUCUUGGGUGAAAGGCGCGGGCUCAACCCGCGGACGGCAGAUGAGACUGCGAGACUAGAGUAAUGGAGGGGGAAGCGGAAUGCGCGGUGUAGCAGUGAAAUGCGUAGAUAUCGAGAGGAACACUGGUGGCGAAGGCGGGUUCCUGGACAUUAACUGACGCUGAGGCACGAAGGCCAGGGGAGCGAAAGGGAUUAGAUACCCCGGUAGUC